GACGAACGCUGGCGGCGUGCCUAAUACAUGCAAGUAGAACGCUGAAGGAGGAGCUUGCUUCUCUGGAUGAGUUGCGAACGGGUGAGUAACGCGUAGGUAACCUGCCUGGUAGCGGGGGAUAACUAUUGGAAACGAUAGCUAAUACCGCAUAAUAGCAGUUGUUGCAUGACAACUGUUUGAAAGGUGCAAUUGCACCACUACCAGAUGGACCUGCGUUGUAUUAGCUAGUUGGUGGGGUAACGGCUCACCAAGGCGACGAUACAUAGCCGACCUGAGAGGGUGAUCGGCCACACCGGGACUGAGACACGGCCCAGACUCCUACGGGAGGCAGCAGUAGGGAAUCUUCGGCAAUGGACGGAAGUCUGACCGAGCAACGCCGCGUGAGUGAAGAAGGUUUUCGGAUCGUAAAGCUCUGUUGUAAGAGAAGAACGAGUGUGAGGGUGGAAAGUUCACACUGUGACGGUAUCUUACCAGAAAGGGACGGCUAACUACGUG
rnacentral:rRNA from 1 species